GGCGGUAUAGCUCAAUUUGGUAGAGCGCAUCCUUCAUACGGAUGAGGUUUUAAAGGUUCAAGUCCUUUUGCCGCUA
rnacentral:tRNA from 1 species